rnacentral:rRNA from 1 species
CAAUAGCGUAUAUUUAAGUUGUUGCAGUUAAAAAGCCCGUAGUUGGAUUUCGGAUGGGAUUUGCCGGUCCGUCGUUACGAUGUGCACUGGCCAGUCCUAUCUUGUUGUCGGGGACUAGCUCCUUGGAUUCACUUCCUGGGACUAGGAGCUGACGAGGUUACUUUGAGUAAAUUAGAGUGUUCAAAGCAAGCCUACGCUCUGAAUACAUUAGCAUGGAAUAACACGAUAGGACUCUGGCUUAUCUUGUUGGUCUGUGAGACCAGAGUAAUGAUUAAGAGGGACAGUCGGGGGCAUUCGUAUUUCAUUGUCAGAGGUGAAAUUCUUGGAUUUAUGAAAGACGAACUACUGCGAAAGCAUUUGCCAAGGAUGUUUUCAUUAA